GUAAUGCGUAGGUGGCAAGCGUUAUCCGGAAUUAUUGGGCGUAAAGCGCGCGUAGGCGGUUUUUUAAGUCUGAUGUGAAAGCCCACGGCUCAACCGUGGAGGGUCAUUGGAAACUGGAAAACUUGAGUGCAGAAGAGGAAAGUGGAAUUCCAUGUGUAGCGGUGAAAUGCGCAGAGAUAUGGAGGAACACCAGUGGCGAAGGCGACUUUCUGGUCUGUAACUGACGCUGAUGUGCGAAAGCGUGGGGAUCAAACAGGAUUAGAUACC
rnacentral:rRNA from 1 species